rnacentral:rRNA from 1 species
UACGUAGGAUGCAAGCGUUGUCCGGAAUUAUUGGGCGUAAAGAGCGCGCAGGCGGUCUAUCAAGUCAGAUGUGAAAUAUCCAGGCUUAACCUGGAGGGGUCAUUUGAAACUGGUAGACUAGAGUACAGCAGAGGAUAGUGGAAUUCCCGGUGUAGUGGUGAAAUGCGUAGAUAUCGGGAGGAACACCUGUGGCGAAAGCGGCUCACUGGACCAUAACUGACGCUGAUGCACGAAAGCUGGGGGAGCAAACAGG